rnacentral:misc_RNA from 1 species
GAUGAAGAACGUAGCGAAAUGCGAUAAGUAAUGCGAAUUGCAGAAUCCGUGAGUCAUCGAAUCUUUGAACGCAUAUUGCGCCCUUUGGCAUUCCGAAGGGCAUGCCUGUUCGAGCGUCAUUAUCACCCCUCAAGCCCCGGCUUGGUGUUGGGCCCCCGGUGGUCGUACCCGACCACCCGCCUCAAAGAUAGUGAUGGCGUCCCAGAGGGAACCGGUACGAGGAGCUUUCACGAGCAUGUACGCGGGACGACUCUGUGGGCGACGGUCUUUUUUAACCUUAAUAUAUCAAGUGUUGACCUCGGAUCAGGUAGGAAUACCCGCUGAACUUAAGCAUAUCAAUAAGCGGAGGA